AACGAACGCUGGCGGCAUGCCUAAUACAUGCAAGUCGAACGAGAUCUUCGGAUCUAGUGGCGCACGGGUGCGUAACGCGUGGGAAUCUACCCCUGGGUUCGGAAUAACAGUUAGAAAUGACUGCUAAUACCGGAUGAUGACGUAAGUCCAAAGAUUUAUCGCCCAGGGAUGAGCCCGCGUAGGAUUAGCUAGUUGGUGAGGUAAAGGCUCACCAGGGCUACGAUCCUUAGCUGGUCUGAGAGGAUGAUCAGCCACGCUGGGACUGAGACACGGCCCAGACUCCUACGGAAGGCAGCAGUAGGGAAUAUUGGACAAUGGGCGAAAGCCUGAUCCAGCAAUGCCGCGUGAGCGAUGAAGGCCUUAGGGUUGUAAAGCUCUUUUACCCGGGAUGAUAAUGACAGUACCGGGAGAAUAAGCCCCGGCUAACUCCGUGCCAGCAGCCGCAGUAA
rnacentral:rRNA from 1 species